rnacentral:misc_RNA from 1 species
GUUACAUAGAAAAACCCCAUCGCAACUCCCACUUGUGAUAGCUCUCCUGCGUCCCCCUAACGCAGACCGAUAGCUAUCGAGAUCCGAUCCCCUCCCCCAUCAUCUCCGACGAUCGCCGGAGCUCAGUUACCGCCCGAUCCAAUUAUGCACUCCACACGCCUCCUCCUCGAAGAGCCGAUCCGGAUGGCCUCCAUCCUCGAGCCCUCCAAAGCCAGCUUCUUCCCCGCCAUGACGAAGAUCGUCGGCACGCUCGGCCCCAAAUCCCGCACCGUCGACGUCAUCUCUUCCUGCCUCAAAACCGGAAUGUCAGUGGCGAGAUUUGACUUCUCGUGGGGGGACAUCGAGUAUCACCAGGAGACACUGGAUAACCUCAAGGUCGCCAUCAAGAGCACCAAGAAGUUCUGUGCAGUUAUGCUUGAUACCGUCGGCGCGGAGCUGCAGGUUGUUAAUAAAAGUGGGCAGCCGAUCUCGCUCGAGGCCGAUGCUUCGGUUGUUCUGACGCCGGAUAAGGGGCAGGAGGCCUCGUCAGAGCUGCUGCCGAUUAAUUUCGAUGGAUUGGCGAAGGCGGUGAAGGCGGGGGACACGAUAUUCAUCGGCCAAUACUUGUUUACUGGAAGCGAAACAACGUCUGCUUGGUUGGAGGUAGCUGAGGUGAAAGGGGAGGAUGUGGUUUGCUUCAUAAAAAAUACUGCAACUCUAGCUGGAUCUUUAUUCACCUUGCAUGCUUCUCAAAUCCAUAUUGAUUUGCCUACACUUUCGGAUGCUGAUAAAGAUGUUAUUAGUAAAUGGGGUGUGCAAAAUAACAUUGACUUCCUGUCUUUGUCUUAUACGAGGCACGCCGAAGAUGUUCGACAAGCACGCGAUUUUCUCUCAAAGUUGGGCGAUCUUCAUCAAACUCAGAUCUUUGCUAAAAUUGAAAAUAUUGAGGGCUUAACCCAUUUUGACGAGAUACUACAAGAAGCAGACGGUAUUAUUCUUUCACGGGGGAAUUUGGGAAUAGAUCUCCCACCUGAGAAGGUGUUUUUAUUCCAGAAGGCUGCAGUCUAUAAAUGUAAUAUGGCCGGAAAACCUGCUGUGGUAACUCGUGUCGUGGACAGUAUGACAGACAACUUGAGACCAACACGUGCAGAGGCAACUGAUGUGGCCAAUGCAGUACUUGAUGGAUGCGAUGGAAUUCUUUUAGGUGCUGAAACUCUUCGAGGGCUAUACCCUGUAGAGACUAUUUCAAUUGUCGGCAAAAUUUGUGCAGAAGCAGAGAAGGUUUUCAACCAUGAUGUGUUCUUCAAGAAGACCGUGAAAUACGUCGGAGAACCGAUGUCCCAUUUGGAGUCUAUUGCUUCAUCUGCGGUACGUGCUGCUAUUACAGUUAAGGCUUCUGUUAUUAUAGU